UUAAGAUCAUGUUAAAGUGAGAUCUGAUUCCUAAAUCAAACCAGCACAUAUCAGGUUCCUCAUUCCUGUUAUGGUACAGACAAUCCUGGGGCAUCCCUACUAUGACUGGAAGGGUCAUCUGUUACCCCUGCCAGCUGGCUCCCAGCACAGGCCCAUCACGAGGCAGCCCCUGUAAAUAGAACCACUGUGGGAAGGGCCUGAACAGGGAGACCCAGCUCCACAAAGGCCACAGCACUUCAGGGAGGUGGAGACGGAGCUGUAGGGGGCUGGGAAUAAGCCUCAGCCAGCUCCACUUGUGGUUUCAGUACAUAGAGAGCUCAACAUCAUGACAGGGAGGGAGAUUUUUUGAGGUGUGAAUAAUGGACUCAGAAACAGCUGGCUUUAAGUGGGGAUAAAUCUGGAAUUAUGGUACCUUGUGUUCUGUUGUCAAUUCCUCUUCAAGAAUUGGGACUCUCGCUAUCCUGAACAGGAGUUGUUUUGCCACAAAAGCCACUCUGUGUAAAUAUGAAACCGGCCACUUGACUUUGGUGAUAAUACUUUGUAGCCUCUGAGGCAAAAAGCCUGCUCUCCUGGCCCUUAGCAGCCUGUUCACCAUGAGUCAUUGGUACUUAAAUAGAAUCUGAGCAGGUUGGAGCUGACUGCAAAGGGACACUGUCACCCUUUC